rnacentral:rRNA from 1 species
UUGUGUAUCAGUACAUGGCAUAUCAAUAAGCGGAGGAAAAGAAGCUAACAAGGAUUCCCUUAGUAACGGCGAGUGAAGCGGGAAGAGCUCAAAUUUGAAAUCUUCAAGGUUUUACCUUGACGAAUUGUAGUUUAAAGAAGUGUUUUCUGUUGAAGUUUUGGUAAAAGUUCUUUGGAAUAGGACAUCAUAGAGGGUGAGAAUCCCGUAUUUGACCAUUAUUUUCAGCUGUGUGAUACACUUUCAAAGAGUCGGAUUGUUUGGGAAUGCAGUCCAAAAUGGGUGGUAAAUUUCAUCUAAAGCUAAAUAUUGGCGAGAGACCGAUAGCGAACAAGUACCGUGAGGGAAAGAUGAAAAGAACUUUGAAAAGAGAGUUAAACAGUACGUGAAAUUGUCAAAAGGGAAGCGUUUGACACCAGUGUUGUUUUCUCGAAAAUCAAUUAAAAAAGGCCGGAUUUUGUGUUGUAUUGACCUUAAAAGCUUUCUUCACUCUUUUCUUGUCUUUUUUAAUGCACUUUUCGUUUAACAAGUCAACAUCAGUUUCUUUUGUUGUAAAAGGGUCAUUGGAAGGUGGCUUUCUUUUCGGAGAAAGUGUUUAUAGCCUUUGGCUUCUGCAAUCGGAGAGAUUGAGGUCUGCAGCGUAGAUCCUUCGGGGUUAGAUACAUUUGUGCUAAGUUAUAGCCUUUCAUAGACAACUUGUUGACUAUGAUUCAGUCAUGUAGCUUACUCGCUUAUGUCAUUUUACCUACGCUUAGGAUGUUGACAGCAGUAUAGACUGU